ACUGUGUGAGUGAUAAGUGCUGCUGUGAAGAGAACAACUGUCAGACUGAGUGUUGAACAUCGUCAGUUGCUCCUGUUGACUGAAACCUUGUUGUACAGAUGGAACAUUGUCUGUGGAUUAUUGCUGCUGCUCUGGUCUUUGAGUGUAAAGCACAAGACAGAGUGGUGCAGCCAGCAGGAGAUGUCACUGCUACUGAAGGAGACACACUUAUACUUGGUUGUACAUUUCAGACCAGUGACUCAACUCCCACUCUGUUCUGGUACAAACAAAAAGUCAAUGAUUUCCCAAAGAUGCUCCUGCUACGCUUCUCAACAAGAGAAGAUCGUCCUGCAGAAAAACAGAAGGAGAGAAUUGAUGCUAUUGUCAACAAGACAUCAGUUCCUCUGCAGAUCCAGAAGCUCCAGCUGUCUGACUCUGCUGUGUACUACUGUGCUCUGAGGCCCACAGUGACAGGAAACAACACAACUCUGUACAAAAACCUCUGCAGCAAACAAGUCAAUACUCCACAUGGUCCACUAGAGGGAGUCACACCCUGUCACACCUCAGUGUUUCUCUUCAUCCAGAUUCUUCUUGGUGCAGAUUCACACCAGAGAGAAUGA